GAUGAACGCUGGCGGCGUGCCUAAUACAUGCAAGUCGAGCGAACGGACGAGAAGCUUGCUUCUCUGAUGUUAGCGGCGGACGGGUGAGUAACACGUGGAUAACCUACCUAUAAGACUGGGAUAACUUCGGGAAACCGGAGCUAAUACCGGAUGAUAUUUUGAACCGCAUGGUUCAAAAGUGAAAGACGGUCUUGCUGUCACUUAUAGAUUGAUCCGCGCUGCAUUAGCUAGUUGGUAAGGUAACGGCUUACCAAGGCAACGAUGCAUAGCCGACCUGAGAGGGUGAGCGGCCGGGCUGGGAGGGAGACAGGGUGCAGACUCCUACGGGAGGCAGCAGUAGGGAAUCUUCCGCAAUGGGCGAAAGCCUGACGGAGCAACGCCGCGUGAGUGAUGAAGGUCUUCGGAUCGUAAAACUCUGUUAUUAGGGAAGAACAUAUGUGUAAGUAACUGUGCACAUCUUGACGGUACCUAAUCAGAAAGCCACGGCUAACUACGUG
rnacentral:rRNA from 1 species